rnacentral:rRNA from 1 species
UACGGAGGGUGCAAGCGUUAUCCGGAUUCACUGGGUUUAAAGGGUGCGUAGGUGGGCAGGUAAGUCAGUGGUGAAAUCUCCGGGCUUAACUCGGAAACUGCCAUUGAUACUAUCUGUCUUGAAUACCGUGGAGGUCAGCGGAAUAUGUCAUGUAGCGGUGAAAUGCUUAGAUAUGACAUAGAACACCAAUUGCGAGGGCAGCUGGCUACACGAAUAUUGACACUGAUGCACGAAAGCGUGGGGAUCAAACAGG